rnacentral:rRNA from 1 species
UAGGGAAUCUUCCGCAAUGGACGCAAGUCUGACGGAGCAACGCCGCGUGAGUGAAGAAGGAUUUCGGUUCGUAAAACUCUGUUGUUAGAGAAGAACAGCGCAUAGAGUAACUGUUAUGCGUGUGACGGUAUCUAACCAGAAAGCCACGGCUAACUACGUGCCAGCAGCCGCGGUAAUACGUAGGUGGCAAGCGUUGUCCGGAUUUAUUGGGCGUAAAGCGAGCGCAGGCGGUCAAUUAAGUCUGAUGUGAAAGCGCCCGGCUCAACCGGGGAGGGUCAUUGGAAACGGGGUGACUUGGGUGGGGAAGAGGGGAGUGGAAUUCCAUGUGGAGCGGUGAAAUGCGUAGAUAUAGGGAGGAACACCGGUGGCGAAAGCGGCUCUCUGGUCUGUAACUGACGCUGGGGCGCGAAAGCGUGGGGAGAGAACAGG